GACGAACGCUGGCGGCGUGCUUAACACAUGCAAGUCGAACGGUGAAGCGCCUUCCUUUCUGGUGGGUGUGGAUGAGUGGCGAACGGGUGAGCAACACGUGAGUAACCUGCCCACUUCUUCUGGAUAACCGCAUGCAAGUGUGGCUAACACGGGAUAUUCUGGGUCUGUCGCAUGAUGGGUCUGGGAAAGAUAUUGUUUCGGUGGGGGAUGGGCCCGCGGCCUAUCAGCUUGUUGGUGGGGUGAUGGCCUACCAGGGCGGUGACGAGUAGCCGGCCUGAGAGGGUGGACGGUCAUACUGCGACUGAGGCACCGCGCAGACUCCGACAGGAGGCAGCAGUGGAGAAUAGUGCACAGUGGGCGCAAGGAUGAUGCAGCGACGCGGCGUGAGUGAUGGAGGCCGUCGGGUUAUGAACCGCUUUCGCGAGUGAAGCAGGCCUGCCUUGUUUGUGGGUGGGUUGACGGUAGCUGGAUAAGAAGCGCCGGCUAACUACGUG
rnacentral:rRNA from 1 species